rnacentral:rRNA from 1 species
ACUCCUACGGGAGGCAGCAGUGGGGAAUAUUGCACAAUGGGGGAAACCCUGAUGCAGCGACGCCGCGUGCGGGAUGAAGGCCUUCGGGUUGUAAACCGCUUUCAGCAGGGGCGAAUUAAGACGGUACCUGCAGAAGAAGCGCCGGCUAACUACGUGCCAGCAGCCGCGGUAAUACGUAGGGCGCGAGCGUUGUCCGGAAUUAUUGGGCGUAAAGAGCUCGUAGGCGGCCUGUUGCGUCCGCUGUGAAAUCCUGGGGCUCAACCCCGGGCGUGCAGUGGAUACGGGCAGGCUGGAGGCAGGCAGGGGAGAACGGAAUUCCCGGUGUAGCGGUGAAAUGCGCAGAUAUCGGGAGGAACACCGGUGGCGAAGGCGGUUCUCUGGGCCUGUACUGACGCUGAGGAGCGAAAGCGUGGGGAGCGAACAGGAUUAGAUACCCUGGUAGUCCACGCCGUAAACGUUGGGCGCUAGGUGUGGGUCCCUUCCACGGGGUCUGUGCCGCAGCUAACGCAUUAAGCGCCCCGCCUGGGGAGUACGGCCGCAAGGCUAAAACUCAAAGAAAUUGACGGGGGCCCGCACAAGCGGCGGAGCAUGUUGCUUAAUUCGACGCAACGCGAAGAACCUUACCAAGGUUUGACAUGGACGGAAAUCCUCCAGAGAUGGGGGGUCCUUCGGGGCCGUUCACAGGUGGUGCAUGGCUGUCGUCAGCUCGUGUCGUGAGAUGUUGGGUUAAGUCCCGCAACGAGCGCAACCCUCGUCCAAUGUUGCCAGCGGGUAAUGCCGGGGACUCAUUGGAGACUGCCGGGGUCAACUCGGA